rnacentral:lncRNA from 1 species
GCGAGCCAACAUGUCCUGCACCUGACUACGGAGAAAGAACACCUCGCCAAUCGACCUCCAGUGAGUAUCCACCAAUGGGUCAUUAUUAGGUACGGCUUCAGCACCCGUUGAUGAGGUGGAAGAUAAACCAUUAACCGAUGAAGAAACCCUUGCCAAUCUUGGCGGAGGGGUAUAAAAAGGACGCCUUUUCCAUGUUUUAGCCUUCUGGUGCUCAUCAUAGAUGGCUGACACCGGGAGGCUCACCACGUUUCCUAGAUGAAAGGAACACAAGAAAUAAGAAGACGGAGUCCUAUCAGGUAAAAACUAAAAGGGGAAGGCUUACCCCAAAUACGGCUAUGACGCAAGGCCUCCUUGCUCACCAGAAAAGUCACCCAUCAGAAUC